rnacentral:tRNA from 1 species
CGGGGCGUGGCGCAGCCUGGUAGCGCGCUCGUCUGGGGGGCGAGCGGUCGGAGGUUCAAAUCCUCUCGCCCCGA